GAUCAUGGCUCAGGAUGAACGCUAGCUACAGGCUUAACACAUGCAAGUCGAGGGGAAACGAUAUUGGAAGCUUGCUUCCGAUAGGCGUCGACCGGUGCACGGGUGAGUAACGCGUAUCCAACCUGCCCAUCGCUUGGGAAUAACCUUGCGAAAGUAAGACUAAUGCCCAAUGACAUUUAUAGAAGGCAUCGGAAAUGAAUUAAAGAUUUAUCGGUGAUGGAUGGGGAUGCGU
rnacentral:rRNA from 1 species